CUCUGGUAACAGAAAACACCUGAUGACAGGUCUCACCAGUAAGGCUGCCUGGGUUGCAUAUUUUAUUCCUAACUGCCUCUUGCAUGGCUCAGUAGUGCUUGUCUGGCCUGGCUGCCUGUCACAACCCCAUACUAUAGGGUAGACAGAGCUUUAUUUUUUUAAUCGUGUGCUCAUAAAUCUCAUGCACAACAGAACAGACAACAGAACUUGGCAUGAAGCAGGAAUUUGGUAAAGCACUGCCAGAUCACAGCACAUGCCUCCUGCUGGGAAGAUUUCCAAGAAACGCUUGGACUGACCUGGAACAAUACACUAUGAAAAAUGAGGAGGCUUCAGAAUAUGCUUAAUGAGAGAACCCAAAGAAAAAUGCCCGGAACAGACUACCAGAGAUACAGGCUGUCCUGAGAGCUUCUACUUCUCUAAACAUGAGUCCAGCCAAAAAUAAAUCUUUAGGGGUAAUGGAUGAUCAGAACUUGAGAAAUAAAUAAAAAAAGUAUCUGUAUCAA